rnacentral:rRNA from 1 species
AAGGAAAUUAGAUCAAGGUGCAGCUUAUAAGUAAGUUAAAAUGGGUUACAAUAAGAUUUAUUUACUACGAAUAUGUUUAGUAAGAUAAAUAGUGUGAAGGAGGAUUUANUUGUAAUUAGAGUUUAAUAAGCUAGGAUGAUAAAAGCUCUAAAUCGUGU